ACUCAGCUGACGAGUCCCGAAUAGUACGAAAUGCGCCUCCUGGAU
rfam:Schistosoma mattheei strain Denwood, Zambia genome assembly, scaffold: SMTD_scaffold0000393